AUAUCGUUAUCUCCAUGGAUUUGAUGGUCUCCACAAGCAGCGUACAAGAAGGCUUCUCCUUGAUUCAACAAUUCCAUCGCGAGCAUAAACCAAACAGCAAGCUUGAUGUCCUCGGUCGUACCUCUCGUAACAUUAACUCCAGACUCUCUCUCGGGUCACGAAAAAGGAACCGACUUGUUCUCGCCUCCGCAGCCUCUGGUCUCAACGGCAGAGCUCAAAAGUUCGAAACUUUAGCUUCUGGGGUUAACGGUAACGGCCACUACAGCUCCGCUAACUCCUCUUUCGCCUUGGAAGACGCAGAGAGCAACAACCAUUUGCGUCAGCUCGUCAGAACCGGCGAGCUCGAGGAAGGGUUCAAGUUCCUCGAGAACAUGGUCUACCACGGGAACGUCCCCGACAUCAUCCCUUGCACGACGCUGAUCCGCGGCUUCUGCAGGAUGGGGAAGACCAAGAAAGCUGCUAAGAUCCUGGAGAUUCUUGAAGGCUCUGGUGCUGUCCCCGAUGUGAUAACUUACAACGUGAUGAUUAGUGGAUACUGCAGAGCCGGGGAGAUCAACAGCGCCUUGUCUCUUCUCGAUAGGAUGAGUGUUUCUCCCGAUGUAGUCACUUACAACACCAUCUUGCGUUCUCUUUGCGAUAGCGGGAAGCUGAAGCAAGCCAUGGAGGUUCUCGACAGGCAGCUGAAGAGAGAUUGUUAUCCUGAUGUGAUUACUUAUACUAUAUUGAUCGAAGCAACUUGCAGAGAGAGCGGUGUGGGAGAGGCGAUGAAGCUUUUGGAUGAGAUGAGGGUUAAAGGGUGUACCCCUGACGUUGUGACUUAUAAUGUUUUGGUGAAUGGGAUUUGUAAAGAAGGGAGAUUAGAUGAAGCGAUUAAGUUCUUGAACGAUAUGCCGUCUUAUGGUUGCCAGCCGAAUGUGAUUACGCAUAACAUUAUCCUGAGGAGUAUGUGCAGCACGGGGAGGUGGAUGGAUGCUGAGAAGAUUUUUUUAGAUCGAAGCAAAUGACGGUAAUCCCGUUGAUCGUCUCCAACUCAUUAAGGUGGCUCACACUAACAAGACGACGGGUCAAAUUCAGGACCCCGUGAUCAAAGGUGUAGUUGAUUUGGUGGAAGCUGAGAUAGUUUCUCAAUCUCAGCCUCUCUCUGAUGACGGCGAUUCUACGGGAGCUUCAACCAACUUGUCCCUAUUGCAAAUAAAUGAGAUGGUUGAAAAGGUAAUUUUUUUUAUUAAUAUAUUUUUUUUAUAAUGUCGAUUACUAAUUUGUCUAUAUUUACUAACUUUAAAUAUUUUUGUAGGCGGUUCCUAAAAGGAAAGGAGGCCGUUUAGUUGGGUUGGCCCGCCGUGCUUCUUCGUAUCCGGCAUCUUCUUCGCAAGCUCCGUAUGCCGAUCCCAUGAUUCUCGAGGAGCUACAUGACAAAGAUGAACGGAUUGGGGCAUUGGAGGAGCAGAACACCACUAUCCUUUCGGAGAAUGCCACUAUCCGUUCGGAGAAUGCCACUAUCCUUGCUGAGCUGGCAUCCCAGAAGAAGUUCAACGCCGAGAUAAUGCAGAAGCUAGAUCGUUUGAUGUCUUCGAGUUCUUAGUUUUUUUCAGCUUUUUAAAACUGUCUGAAUGUUUUUUUCUUUCGUUUUGCAUGAAUUUUAAAUUUUCUGAAUGUUUUUUUUCUAUUUCGGUUUGUAUGAAUUUAAAUUCUAUAAUAUUAUUAGUUUUAAAUUUCAGAUUUUAUUUAUUUAUUAAUUAAUUUUUCAUAUAAAAAAUAUAUAUAAAAAUGCAAAAUUAAUUCGUAUUAUUAAAAUUGACAUUUUCCGACGAACUAAGUUCUCGGUAAAUACCGACGGAGUAUGACUCGUCGGUAAAUACCGACGGACUAUGAUUCGUCGGAACAUACCGACGAAUGGUGAGUCGUCGGAAUUUACCGACGAAUCGUAAUCCGUCGGUAUUUACCGACGAGUCAUAUUCCGUCGGUAUUUACCGACGAAUCAGACUCCGUCGGUAUUUACCGAGAACUUAGUUCGUCGGAAUCUUCGGAGGAUCCGUCUCCGUCGGUAUAUAGUUUUUCCGAUGAACUCUAGUCUCGUGUGUCCGCAUCGGAAUAUUGUCGGAAGUUCGUCAGAAUGUUAUUUCUCGGUAUUCGUCAGAAAGUCGUCGGAAGUUCUGACGAAAUUCCGACGAAUUAUUUUUUUCCGACGAAAUGAUACCGACGAACGCCUUCGUCAGAAAUGCGUCGGAAUAGGCCUUUUCCGACGAACUUCCGACGAUUUUGGCCAUCAGAAUCUCUCUGUUUUCUUGUAGUGGAAUAGUCUAGAAAAUGUAAUAAUAUUUGUAUGAGUGUAAAAAAAACCUGUCAGGGUGAUUUUGAUAAAGUUUGUUGAUAUAUUUUGGAUUCGGAUCAGGAGCAUAAAACUCUGCGGCUGAUCGAUCUGGAAAACCAAUUUCCCACAAGGUUGCUCCAUUUCUUGGAGGCUGAUAUACAAGAUCUUCCAUAUACAUGUAACAACCUGCACAUAAUGAAUGAUACUAAUUACAGUAUUGUAUAUUGGGUUUAAUUAUACAAAACAAAUGGUUUGUGGAGUUUAUAGAGAGCAAGAAGGAGAGAGGACCUGGAGUGAUGGUGAUGAUGUCAUCGUAUUUAUAGUCGCCAAUAAAACCAGGAAUCCAUGCAUAGAGAUUGUAUUGGCCUGGUCGUACUCCAUUUAUGUAAAAGAAUCCUUCUUCAUCUGUUCUUGUCCAGAAUUGAUAGUCCUGCAUGAAUUAAAUUAUAUGUGCAUAUAAUCAUAUUAAUUCUAAAUAUUUCCAUUAAUUUCUUCAUGGGGCCAAACUCAAACUAAAGUUCACCUUGCAUUCUCGUUGCCAUGAACCAGCAGCUCCAGGCAGAGCCAAACCAACAUAACCUCUAUUUGCUGCAAUGAAAUCUUUAUCUACGUACCUUCAAAACAUUUUUAAACAAAUGACAUCUUGCAGAUGAUUAGAUACAUGCAUGUACUUGUCAUGUAAAGUUGACUUGUCUUGAACACGAAUUUAUUAGUAUUUAGAGGUAAAAGCAAACGCAAAUCACAAUGGGCUCUCUGUUGUAAUUUGUUUACCUGUCUUGAACGAGAAGUCUGCCAACAACAUUACCACGUUGCUCUGCUUUCACAUAAUCAUCAGAAGCUGGAAAACUGUAAGGCCAGCUUUCUACUUCCACAUUCAUCUGAGAUAUACAAAUUUACCAAGAUGUGAAAUGAGGAGACAAUGAUAUAUUCGUUCUUCUAGCUAUGUAUAUAUAAAACAAUAUAUUAAGAAGGACCUGAGAUUUAGCAUCUUGCCAGAGCCAAAGAGGGUCAUUAUCAUCAUCAGUAGAGGAGUUUAAAUAGACAAAGACCGGUCCAAACACCUUCUUCCAUGCCUCUCCUUCACUGAACUUUGGCACUAAAUCCUCCCCUGUAUAGUGUGCACUCAUAAACACCUGAAGGAUCCCACUCUAGGUUACACGACAUUCAUAAAAAAUUUUAGAGAAAAACGUUAAAGCAGAAGAGAUGUGUAUUCUUACAGCAAGAGCAGUGGGUCCAACGUGAGAUGUCAAGUUCUGUUUUUGGGGUCCACCAGUUCGGUACUCAUGGCUAGGAGUUAUGAGCCAGAAACCAACUGAUGGUUGCUCCGUGCAUAUCCAUCCAUGGACAGUAAUGUCUUUGUUUUCACAUGAAUAUUGGUACUUAUCAUCAACCUAAAACCCCAAAGAAGUACCAGUAAUUAGUACAAGAAAGAAGUUAACCUCUCUUAGUUAGUACUUUACCUCUCCUUUAAACUGAGGCUCAACAGGGUUAACAAGUAGAACAGCUUCAGGGUAAGCCAGAGCUUGGCCUCUAUCCGGUAACCGGUCAUCAGGCAAUGGCAUGAACCUCUGCCUAUCAUCAGUUAUUGCCAUAUAGUGAAACCUACAACCUCAGAUAAUAUUAAUAAAAAAAUUAAGUGAUCAAAGAUGUGUUAGGAUGUGAAGGAGUGAUGCGUAGUUUACUUCUCCUUUCUUAGCUUGAAUGCAAUUCUAGUUUCAGCUAUUGAGAAAGCAGGCCACUCUUUCAAGUGCUCGUAGAUGGCAUAAGUGUAGAAUCCUGACGACCCACGAAGCAUAACAAAUCUGUUUCCACAAUGGUUUCAGGUCAUAAUCUGAACAAAAACUGGAAUAUGAAGUUCAUGCAUGCAUGUCAAAGAUAUAUAGUAGGACCUUUUGUCAAUGUUCAAAGGGACAGCUUUGCCUUCUUGUGAUGGGUCCCAUUUUCUUGUGAAAGAGAUCUCAAUCUGUUCUUCGGUUUCCAUUAUUACCUCAAACUUUGUUCCUUUUAUACUGUUACAAAAAGAAAAUAGUCAUUAAUUAACGGUUGCUUUGAAACCUCUUUGAACUUCAAUUUGUAAGCUUAUGAAGAAGACUUACACAUCAAAUGUACCAGCGGUUCCUGGUCCACUCCAAACGAGGUCCCAAUACCUGAAGAAUGUAUAGUCUUUAUAUCCAUAGGAGAAAACAGAGAGAAGCAUGCAAAUAACUAUUCUUACAAACAUAAAGGAUCAUAUAUAUAUAUAGCACACUACCCUCUGUUGGAUUCUUCAUUAAGAACCUCGAGCAAGUUAUCGAUGCCAUUAUACUCGAUACCUGUAACAAUUCCAUCAGGCUUUGAUAAUGUAACACGAGCAAUGCCAUUAUCCAUCACCACCUGAUCAGAGCCAUUAAUACAUCAUCAAUAUAGAAAUAUUUCAUCAAAAACGUUACACUCUUGUUUAGUAUCUGCAGGUAAAUGAACGCAUAGAGAAGAUCAUGAGAAGAGUUCAAGUAAACCAACAUGAUUGCCCUUAUCUUGCAACUGCAGUUUAACAGACGACAUUGUCGAAAUGUCUUUCUCCGCUUUGGUCUGAAGCUAAAAGUACAUGUACAUGCUUUCCUAUACGUAUACGUGCAUAUAUAUAUGGAUCGGAUUUAGAAACUUAUGUUGCCUUAAACGUGAGAUAAAGCAAGUUGGGUAUAGUGGAGAUAAUCUCUUAACUUCGUCGUCAAAACAGUUUGGUUAGUUUACAACAAAACGCUUAAAAUAGCCGCAAUGAUCAUCAUAGUGACAUUCGUGUAUGUGUGUCUCAAAGCUUUCACUUACGUCUCUUCUAAAAACAAUACCAUAUUUGUAUGCUUCAUUAGGUUAACCUUCACUAACAAGACACAAAAGUCCAGGCCCAAGCCCAACUCUAUGAGGCCCAAAUUCACAAAAGUCCAAAAACUUUCGGUUUCACUCACUUUCUUCAACCAAACCCGCCUCUUCUGUUCCUUCUUCUUCCCCCAUCCUCACUCUCCUCCUCCCUAAACCUUAUCUCAGUCCGAACUAAACUCAGUUACUUUAUCUAUGUCCUGAACUUGCUAAUAUCGUUAUCUCCAUGGAUUUGAUGGUCUCCACAAGCAGCGUACAAGAAGGCUUCUCCUUGAUUCAACAAUUCCAUCGCGAGCAUAAACCAAACAGCAAGCUUGAUGUCCUCGGUCGUACCUCUCGUAACAUUAACUCCAGACUCUCUCUCGGGUCACGAAAAAGGAACCGACUUGUUCUCGCCUCCGCAGCCUCUGGUCUCAACGGCAGAGCUCAAAAGUUCGAAACUUUAGCUUCUGGGGUUA
rnacentral:lncRNA from 1 species